GACGAACGCUGGCAGCGUGCUUAACACAUGCAAGUCGAACGGUAAGGCCCUUCGGGGUACACGAGUUGCGAACGGGUGAGUAACACGUGGGUGAUCUGCCCAGCACUUCGGGAUAAGCCUGGGAAACUGGGUCUAAUACCGGAUAGGACCACUGCCUGCAUGGGUGGUGGUGGAAAGCUUUUGCGGUGUGGGAUGGGCCCGCGGCCUAUCAGCUUGUUGGUGGGGUGAUGGCCUACCAAGGCGAGGACGGGUAGCCGGCCUGAGAGGGUGACCGGCCACACUGGGACUGAGAUACGGCCCAGACUCCUACGGGAGGCAGCAGUGGGGAAUAUUGCACAAUGGGCGCAAGCCUGAUGCAGCGACGCCGCGUGAGGGAUGACGGCCUUCGGGUUGUAAACCUCUUUCAGCACCGACGAAGCGCAAGUGACGGUAGGUGCAGAAGAAGGACCGGCCAACUACGUGCCAGCAGCCGCAGUAA
rnacentral:rRNA from 1 species